rnacentral:rRNA from 1 species
AGCAGCCGCGGUAAUUCCAGCUCCAAUAGCGUAUAUUAAAGUUGUUGCAGUUAAAAAGCUCGUAGUUGAAUUUCGGGAUUUAUCCGUCGGUCGGGCUUUUGGGUCUGUACUGGCGUGAUGGAUUCCUACCUUCUGAAUAACCGGCAUGUCAUUAAUUUGGUGCGCCGGGGAAGCAGGACUGUUACCUUGAAAAAAUUAGAGUGCUUAAAGCAGGCUUAUGCCUGAAUACAUUAGCAUGGAAUAAUGAAAUAGGACGGCAUGGUUCUAUUUUGUUGGUUUCUAGGAUCACCGUAAUGAUUAAUAGGGAUAGUUGGGGGCAUUAGUAUUCAAUUGUCAGAGGUGAAAUUCUUGGAUUUAUUGAAGACUAACUUCUGCGAAAGCAUUUGCCAAGGAUGUUUUCAUUAAUCAAGAACGAAAGUUAGGGGAUCGAAGACGAUCAGAUACCGUCGUAGUCUUAACCAUAAACUAUGCCGACUAGGGAUCGGACGAUGUUAAUUUUUAAUGACUCGUUCGGCGCCUU